rnacentral:rRNA from 1 species
GACGAACGCUGGCGGCGUGCCUAAUACAUGCAAGUCGAGCGAAUCUUGAGGUGCUUGCACCUCUUGGUUAGCGGCGGACGGGUGAGUAACACGUGGGCAACCUGCCUGUAAGACUGGGAUAACACCGGGAAACCGGUGCUAAUACCGGAUAAUCCUUUUCUCUCAUGAGGAGAAGCUGAAAGUACGGUUUACGUCUGACACUUACAGAUGGCCCGCCGGCGCAUUAGCUAGUUGGUGAGGUAACGGCUCACCAAGG